rnacentral:rRNA from 1 species
UACGGGGGGAGCAAGCGUUGUUCGGAUUUACUGGGCGUAAGGGGCGCGUAGGCGGCCAGCACAAGUCAGUUGUGAAAUCUCCGAGCUUAACUCGGAAAGGUCAACUGAUACUGUGCGGCUAGAGUGCAGAAGGGGCAACUGGAAUUCUUGGUGUAGCGGUGAAAUGCGUAGAUAUCAAGAGGAACACCUGCGGCGAAGGCGGGUUGCUGGGCUGACACUGACGCUGAGGCGCGAAAGCUAGGGGAGCGAACGGG